GAAGAAGAGAAAGAUGAGGAAGCAGGAGGAAGCACUUCUCCGUAGGAAGUCACUUGAGAAUCAGGGCAUUGCUCUUCGUUCCUUGGCAAGCUCCCCUUGACCUUUCUAAAAAUCAAGAAGAAGAACAUCAGACUGUGUGUCUGUCUUGUACUCAUCAUGGACAGCUGUGUUAAGACUUGACCUGUGGUGUGAUUGAUUUCAAGGACAUCUCUGACAACUUGAGAAUUGCUCCAACAGAGCAAGAUCCUGAAAAUCAUCACCAAAAUCAUUGUGAAGAAGAGCCUUGUGCUCCUUUCUGAGUUGCAGAAGACAAUGAGAAAUGAAAGAAAUUCUAUGAAGUGAUCCCCAAGAAUUUAAGGCUCUCCAGUCUUCCAUAAAGGUUAUUCAUCAUACAAUACAAGAGACUCAGCCCACGGGCAAGUCCACAGGACCACUACCAGUUUCCUUUUUUUCAAGACUGGUGAAUUAUCUGGAUCAAGCAAAUAUCCAAAGGAGUUCUGGAAGCAACUUGCAAAGGAAAGGACACUAUAUGGCUAUUUUCUCUACUUCUAUGGCUAUGGCAGUAUCUGGCAUUACACCAUAGAUCCACCAUACCCAAGUCAAGAAAGUGAAAGCCGUAGAUGCUGCCAUCAAAUGGACUGUCUCGCAGACAAUUUAACCAUUAAAGUUUCUUUCAUUGACACCUA